UACAGAGGGUGCAAACGUUGCUCGGAAUUAUUGGGCGUAAAGCGCGAGUAGGCGGCUCGUUAAGUCGGUUGUGAAAACCCAUGGCUCAACCAUGGAAGUGCGUCCGAAACUGGCGAGCUUGAGUCCCGACGAGGAUGGCGGAAUUCCCAGUGUAGAGGUGAAAUUCGUAGAUAUUGGGAGGAACACCGGUGGCGAAGGCGGCCAUCUGGGAGGGUACUGACGCUGAGUCGCGAAAGCGUGGGGAG
rnacentral:rRNA from 1 species